rnacentral:rRNA from 1 species
UACGUAGGGGGCAAGCGUUGUCCGGAUUUAUUGGGCGUAAAGAGCGUGUAGGCGGCCUGGAAGGUCAGCUGUGAAAACUCGAGGCUCAACCUCGAGACGUCGGUUGAAACCACCUGGCUAGAGUCCGGAAGAGGAGAGUGGAAUUCCCGGUGUAGCGGUGAAAUGCGCAGAUAUCAGGAGGAACACCGGUGGCGAAGGCGGGUUCUCUGGGCCUGUACUGACGCUGAGGAGCGAAAGCGUGGGGAGCAAACAGG